rnacentral:rRNA from 1 species
CUUGGUGCGUAUAGCUUUAGGGUCACACCCGUUCCCAUCUCGAAUACGGUAGUAAAGACUAAAGCGCUGAUGAUACUUGGCGGGUAGCUGCCUGGGAAAGUAGGUAGUGCCAGGA